UUUUUUAAUUGAAAGCUUGUAUGAAUGGUUAAAUGAAAUAUUAGCUGUUUCAUGAAAAUUGAAUUAGAAUUUUAUUUUUUAGUUAAAAAGCUAAAAUAAUUUUAGAGGACGAGAAGACCCUAUAAAGUUUUAUAUAAAAUUUAUUUUAAUAUUUAAAUAAUUAUUAUUAUUCUAUUAAAUAUUUAUAUUUUGUUGGGGAGACAAUAAAAUUUAAUAAACUUUUAUUUUUAAAAACAUUUAUUAAUGAAUAAUUGAUCCAGUUUUAUUGAUUAUAAAUUUAAAUUACUUUAGGGAUAACAGCAUAA
rnacentral:rRNA from 1 species